rnacentral:rRNA from 1 species
CAGUCGCCGCGGGAAUACGGAGGGUGCAAGCGUUAAUCGGAAUUACUGGGCGUAAAGCGCACGCAGGCGGUUUGUUAAGUCAGAUGUGAAAUCCCCGAGCUUAACUUGGGAACUGCAUUUGAAACUGACAAGCUAGAGUCUUGUAGAGGGGGGUAGAAUUCCAGGUGUAGCGGUGAGAUGCGUAGAGAUCUGGAGGAAUACCGGUGGCGAAGGCGGCCCCCUGGACAAAGACUGACGCUCAGGUGCGAAAGCGUGGGGAGCAAACAGGAUUAGAUACCCCUGUAGUCCCUGUCUCUUAUAC